rnacentral:rRNA from 1 species
GAUGAACGCUGACAGAAUGCUUAACACAUGCAAGUCGAUGGGGAGGUGGUGCUUGCACCAUGGUAACCAUGGCGGACGGGUGAGUAACGCGUAAGGAACUUGCCUGCGGGACUGAGAUAACAGCAGGAAACUGCUGAUAAUACCGGAUAAGGUCAUUAAGCUGCAUAGCUUAGUGAUGAAAGGAGACGCCUGCGGAGAGCCUUGCGUCCUAUUAGCUAGUUGGAGGGGUAACGGCCCACCAAGGCGAAGAUAGGUAGCCGGCCUGAGAGGGUGGACGGCCACAAGGGGACUGAGAUACGGCCCUUACUCCUACGGGAGGCAGCAGUGGGGAAUAUUGGACAAUGGGGGCAACCCUGAUCCAGCAAUUCUGUGUGCACGAAGACGGUUUUCGGAUUGUAAAGUGCUUUCAGCAGGGAAGAAGGAAGUGACGGUACCUGCAGAAGAAGCGACGGCUAAAUACGUG